UGAUGCACCGUCUUUUAAAACUGGAGUCUUUUAUAUCUGUCUUAUCCUUUAAGCCGGAGUAUCUUCUUAAUCAUACACUACACCACUGCUCUCGUCGCACUCCGCAACGGGCGCCACCAAUUUUAGAGAAUUAAUAAGGCGUAGGUUGAGACGGCUGCAACACGGCGGGAAAAACAGUAGCACAACGACGGAGUUGAAGUUGAUUUGAUGAUAUUCUACUUGAUUUAGUGUUGUUAAUCCAUGGCUGUCACAAUAUCGAACGACACCAUUCUUGACAAACUUAGAAAUGGUAGUGCUAAAUUUGAGCUUGUAUCAUCUGCUGUUGAUUCUAUUUCAACUCCCAACCCAGUUCAAUUCCUUAACAACACCAGUUCUCUUUUUUUCGCCCGAAUCGGACUUCCGCAAAGUAGAGUUUCUUCCUCAAACAUAAAGGUGGAGCGUUACACAAUUCUGAAGGUCACUGGGGAUGGCCGUUGCAUGUUUCGAGCACUCGUUAAAGGCAUGGCUAGGAACAAGGGAAUAACUCUUACACCACAACAAGAAAGAGAUAAUGCUGAUGAGUUAAGAGCUGCAGUGAAAGAAGUUAUUUGUGAAAAUGAAAAUGAACGGCGUCAAUAUCAGGAGGCAGUCACUGCAAUUACUGUUGAUGAGCCCUUGCACCGAUACUGCCAGCGUAUUGGACGACAUGACUUUUGGGGUGGAGAGUCCGAGCUACUGGUUAGUCCUCUCCAAAGCCUGGUUUGUAGAUCAAACUUGGUGGUAAAAGGAACUUAGGACCUUGCUAUCAUUGUAAUGACCCCCACUACCUUGCUUAACCUAAAUCACAGUAUGUUGACAAUGACGAGAGAAUUCAACUGGAAUGAGAUGUGUGGCCUCAUUUGUACGUGCAUGUAUGUGCAUGGUUGGUCGGGCACAUGAUUAGAGUUAAAGCCUUAGUUUGUUGCAAAUCUAUGGGUAUCUUAAUCGGGUUCAUAGCUUGGUGUAUCCUUUUGAUGUCAAAGCUAUAAAGUUGUUAAUUAUCUAUGUAUAAUUGUCUUUGCAUUAUUAACUUAUAUUAUACAAUGUAUUUGCAUUAUUAACCUACUAUUGAAAAAAUUCACAUGAAAAAAAAAAAAAAAAAUAAAUGAAAUUAUUGAAUAUAUAACCCAUUUAAAAAUUAAAACUUUUUGAUUGUUGACAAUAACUAUAUGUCUUCAUAAAAAUUACAACUUUUUGAUUGUUGACAAUAACUAUAUGUCUUCAUAAAGCUUUGAAGGUGAGGCAACUUGCUUAUACUUCCUCCAUUAAUAUUUAGAUGUGAGGCACCUUCUUUUACUUCCUCCAUUGAUAUUUAGGUGCAACAUUUUGACAUCUCCACUAUUCACAUAAUUCAAUUUGUUUAUAUAAACAAGAUAAAUCAUAACCACAUGGAAUCUUUUUACAUGUAUUCCAAUGAUUAUUUUCAAAAUAUAAAUUUUUUGUGGGUUUUUAAUUGUAAAGUAAAAAUAUUUAAUGUCAGAUUCAGAUUUAAUAUGAAGAAUGCUGUGAAAGAGCAGUAAAUAAUGUGGGGAAACCAUAAGCUGCGUACAUCACAUUGACCCCCAUUAUAUUCAUGAGCACACCAAUCCCUAGAAUGGUUACCCAAAUACAAGAAAAGGACAACUGGCUGUACAAACCAGUCAAGAGAAAAUAACAGAAGAAGCAAAGAAAAUACAUGAGCAGGAUAGAAAUAAGAGAGUAUUGUCAAAGUUGUGUAAUAAGCGGAUCAUUGUGUAUAUACCAGAAACAGAGCAUAAAAGUGGCAAGUGGGGGUCUGGAUUCAUUCCAAUUGCAGAAUAUGGAGCUGUAAAG